ACUGAUUGUUUUGUUCACAAUCCUUUAGCAAGACAGAAAAGUUCUCCAAGUCCCCACCUGACACAGAAGCCCAACUGGCUUCACCUCUCACUAACAAGGGCUCAUCACUUUUUGUACUAUGGCUUAUUGUUUUUCUUUUUUUUGCAACAACAAUUUUAAUGGACUAAACAAUCAAAUCUAUCACUUUUAAAUGCUUAGUUAGCCUUCCUGUUUCUGGAAUUAGGGUAGAACAACCGUUUUUUUGUGAUUGCUACAUCAUAACUAUGAUGAAAAUUUUUUGGAUAGCAUUGAAGAGUUCAAAAGGUCGUAUGAAGUGUUUUGCCUGAAGCUUCAGUGAAGUAAAAUUGGUUUCUUCUGAGAAUAAGGGUGUUUAGGCCAGCAUCCCUGGAACAAAUAUUAUCUCUUCCUGCAAUUCCAUUGUCUGCCGGUGUUACCGGCAGAGCUACUUUGAGUGCUGGGCAGGAGCUGAAGCCGCGAUGGGCAGGGGGUUCAUUCAAGGGAGUGGCUGGGAGGGGAGAUUUUGAUGACCUCUGAGCCUGCAGCUCUGAGCUCUGAGUUGAAGCUCUGCUCUCCAAAGCAAGUGUGACUCAGAAGCACUUUGGGGUCAUCUGUAUUUGCCAGCCUCACCUCACUCUUAUUCUCUCAGGAUGUUUAGGAAGAAAUGAAAAUUAUAUGGCUUAGUCUCAACAUAGCAAGAACUGUGGGGAAGAUCAUUAACUUUCUAACCUGAUUUCUUCUUGUGACUUCAGAGGCUUCCUUAACCUCCAGUUAGAAAUUUUUAUCAGGCAUAUUCGAUUAUUAUGUAUCAAGCAUCUGCCUUGUGCCAUUCACUGUUUGAGGCAGUUAGAAACAGUGAUGGGCAUGUCAAAUGAAACCCUGCUCUGACAGACCUAAAAUCCUAAUGAGUGAUAAUUAAUAUUUAUCCUUUAUCUUUUCACUUAGUGAUUAAUGUUCAAAAGAAAAGCACUCAUAUCAGAAUGAGGUACCUAUUCUUCAAAAAUUAUGAUAGAUUCUCUUUGUAUUUUUAAAAUAUUUUGGUGGUAUAUAAUAGAGUCAGUUUCUUCAACAGAGCUACAAGCUUGAUCCCCUUGUUGAAAAAUACAUAUUACAAGGGCAACAUUAGAAACCCCCAUGAUCCAAUCACCUCCCACUAGGUCCCUCCCCCAAAGUUAGGGAUUACAACUCAGCAUGAGAUUUGGGUGGGACACGGAGCCAAACCAUAUCAGUGGUUAACUCAGCUCUCGUGCGCUAUAUCCUUUCCUUCCUGGGAUCCCAUUAAAAACAUUAAAUGAAGAAACAUAACAGCCAAAGGAAAGGUGGAAGGACCCUUCCAUGGAAAAAAAAAUGGAACAAAUAGCUUGCAGGAAAAUGAGAAGGAAAACCUGUUAAAGGAUGACACCCAUCUGGAAGAGGAUGCCCAGAGUGUAAAGAAGGAGAUGGGGAGAGGCAGCAGGGCUCCAGAGGGCUACCAGGCUGUGGGUUCACAGGUCGGAGGAGCAAAAAAGUGCGUCCAUCGCAGCAAGAAGGGGGACUACUGUGAGUGGAGAGCUUGCUCAUGCAGAGGGAGACAUUCACUCCUCUUACUGUCCCCUAUCCCUGCUGUCCCAAGGAGAGAGCACCCCAGUUAUGUGAUCAUGUGUACUACUUUUUAAAUGUCAGUACUGGUUUGAUUUUUAACUAAGUAAAAAUGGAAAAUUAAACCAAAAAUACAGGGUAUCUGUCAGCUUCCCAGAAUAUAUCUUUGGGGUCUUGUGUAAAGAAAUUGAGAUGUAAUCUGCUUUUCUGAGAAUACUACAUUUUAAUUGUUAAUUAUGAUUUAAUUAAAUUAAAAUUUAAUUUAAUUUUAAUAGUUGCUCAUGAAGUGAGGAAGAAUUUUUGUUAUUCUUUUUUUUUGUUUUUUGCGACAUUGUGUCACUCUUUUUGCCCAGGCUGGAGUGCAAUGGCGUAAUCUCUGCUCACUGCAACCUCUGCCUCCCGGGCUCAAGCGAUUCUCCUCCCUCAGCCUUCUGAGUAGGUGGAAUUACAGGCACCUGCCACCACGCCUAAUUUUUUGUAUUUUUAGUAGAGACAAGGUUUCGCCAUGUUGGCCAAGCUGGUCUCGAACUCCUGACCUCAGGUGAUCCACCCACUUCAGCCUCCCAAAGUGCUGGGAUUACAGGCAUGAACCACCGCGCCCAGCCCUUUGUUAUUCAAUCUUAAGAGUGUCAGUUGCUGAACAACAAACUUUUAAAAAUAUUUUAGCUGUAAAAGUAACGCCUUUCACUAGUGAAAAUUUACAAAGUAGAAAAAAAUAAAUAUAAAACAAAAAUUAGUCAGCCAUAAGCACUUUAUUCAAAAAAUAACAUUUUAUUGAUUAUCUUUAGGGUUCUUUAUUGUAUUAAACUUCAUAUAUUUUGAGUUCAUAGUGCAAAUUACAUUUUUUAAUGUAAGUUGAUUCACAUAUUUUUGUAUAUUACUAAAAUAUUACUUUGUUUUUCUUGAGAUGAGAUCUCACUGUGUCCCCCAGGUUGAGUGCAUUGGCAUGACUUGGCUCACUGCAGCCUUAACCUCCCAGGCUAAAGUGAUCCUCCCACUUUAUUUUUGUAUUUUUUGUAGAGAUAGGGUCUCGCUAUGUUACCCUGGCUGGUCUCAAAUGCCUGGACUCAAAGGAUCCUCCAACUUCGGCCUUCCAAAGUGCUGCAAUUACAGGCAUGAGCCACUGUACCUGGCCUAAAUAUUACUUUUAUAGUUAUCUGAUAGUCUAUGUUUGAAUACAUUAUAAUUUAUUUAAGUAUGCUACUGUUACUAUACUUACAAAGUUGUUUCCAGGCUUACCUUUUCCAAGUUAAGCUAUUGUAAGAAUCUUUACACAAUAAUGGGUCUGACUUUAGUGUGAACUCUUAAAAUGGAUCAUGUCAUUUAAAUAAAUACUUCA